GACGAACGCUGGCGGCGUGCUUAACACAUGCAAGUCGAACGGAAAGGCCCUGCUUUUGUGGGGUGCUCGAGUGGCGAAAGGGUGAGUAACACGUGAGUAACCUGCCCUUGACUUUGGGAUAACUUCAGGAAACUGGGGCUAAUACCGGAUAGGAGCUCCUGCUGCAUGGUGGGGGUUGGAAAGUUUCGGCGGUUGGGGAUGGACUCGCGGCUUAUCAGCUUGUUGGUGGGGUAGUGGCUUACCAAGGCUUUGACGGGUAGCCGGCCUGAGAGGGUGACCGGCCACAUUGGGACUGAGAUACGGCCCAGACUCCUACGGGAGGCAGCAGUGGGGAAUAUUGCACAAUGGGCGGAAGCCUGAUGCAGCAACGCCGCGUGCGGGAUGACGGCCUUCGGGUUGUAAACCGCUUUCGCCUGUGACGAAGCGUGAGUGGCGGUAAUGGGUAAAGAAGCACCGGCUAACUACGUG
rnacentral:rRNA from 1 species